AAGACGACGAUAAAUAGAUUUGUACGAAAAGAAAAGAAGCUAGAAGCGAAGCGUGGAAUAUCGGUAUUUGCCGAGCUGUGAGAACAUCUAAAUUUUUGAAUGGAUGAAAACAUCUUACAACAUGCACAGGCUGUCCUAAGAUACUAUGAAAGGAGGAUUGUUAGAGAGUCUAACUCAACAGGAAUAUGCCAACCAGAACUGCAGUUAGGAGUCAUUGGCAGGAGGAACCUUUGUGACUUGUACGAAGAUGAAGCUUUCAAGCACAGAAUUGCUUUUCCAAAGAGACCACACGCUACCUCAUCAUCAUGCUUGAAGGUGAUCUGAGCCUGAGGAGGGACGAAGGGCCUAGUGAUCGACUACCUUUGUUUCUGCAAGUAUUGACAAUUCUGCGUUUGUAUGCUGAUAAUUUCAGGGAAUACAGGGUGAUGAGGCAUCAGUGUUGCAAUCAUCUGUUUGUUGAGUGAUCAGAUGUUUCGCAAGCCAUAGCCAGAAGAAAGGUUUUGUGAGAACUUGAGAUUGAGGCUACCCAACAACAACUGUUUGAGUACCAGUACAGUACUACAGGAAUUCAAGAGUCAUAGGUGUGUUCGAUGGGACCCAUGUCUACAUAUCCUGGAGGGAAACAAGCUUUGUACUUUCUUGAUGGGCAAGUCCACCCAACAAAAAGUUUAUUUUGAUAUAAUAGAGAAAACUCCAAUGAGCAUAACACUGAAAAUUUGAUGUAAAAUGAGAAAGUUCUGACAUCUUGAAGUUUCGCUUAUUUUCACAAAACAGAUAUAUAUGCACAUCCUGGUCAUUAUGCAAAUGAGUGACCAAGUGACGUUCUCCACUCACUGUUUCUUUUUUGUAAUAUAUCAUGAAAUAUGAUUUUUUUUUUUAUAAUGGCUAAUACAGGUGUAUGGUUUGAUUUCUCCCUGAAACUUGUGUAAAAAGACAAUGUGGCAACCUAUACUCAAUUGUGAAUUCUGUAAAAAAUCAAGUAUUAUAAUAUAUUUCAUAUAUUGAUAUACAGAAGAAAGAGUGAGUGUGUGACGUCAUAGACUUGUUUGCAUAUCACCUGUUUUGCGAGUACUGGUAAUUAAUUUCUUAUUUUACAUCCUAUUUUGACGUUUUCAGUGUCAUGCAUGUUUUAUUUUUCUCUAUCCAUUCACAUUAACUUUUUGUUGUACAGUGGACUUGCUCUAGAACAGGUAUUUUCUGUAAUGUACAAGUAAGAAUUUCAUUAUUCAUUUGUGUCUUCUUUUUAACACCUUCUUUACAGAGGGGGGGGGGUUGAAUCAACCUCCCUUGAGAUCUCUGCCAAUGAUCGCAUUAACGCCUUGAAAAUUGGUAUGAUAAUAGUGGGGGAUGUCAUGUGCAAUGCUGUUUGGUUAAUUUUUCCGAAAUUGUCAGAUCUUUUAUAUUAAUUAAUUAUGCUAAUUUCUGCAUAAAUCUUACUUUUAUACCAUUGCUAACAAUCAAAAUGAAAAAAAAAAUCCUAGAUUGAAAAUGAAUUUCUUAUGUAUUUUAUUGUUUUAUGAAUUUCUUAUGUAUAUCUUUUUUUUCAAGAUUUUGUUUUUUGCCAAAUUUAAAGCAGAACAUUUUUUGAAGCAUAAUUAUGCUGAAAUCAAGUAAUUUCAGCUGAUGAAAGUAAAAAUAAUCAUGUCCAUAUGAAGAAGAUGAGAAAACUCAAUAUUGACUUUGUACACAAAAUCACAUUUUGGAGCAAUUUUGGGUCUGACAUGCACUUUUGUAAUGUUGAGUAAUUUUCCAACAGCAUGCACAGGCAUCGUAAAUUUGAUCUCAAGAGAUGUGCAAGACUUCAAAGUAAAAAGUCGGCGAGCAGCACGGUCGUUAAGUUUCGCACAGCGGAAUGGUUGUGGAAUAUGUUGAGGGAGGGGGUUCAUUCACCCCCCCCCCCCGGGGUUUUAUAGGGUUAACCCUGAAUCUCCCGGGGUAUUAUGAUUCUUGUCAUUCUGGGGGGCCCCCCUUAAGACCUCAGUCGCGGAUUGCGCGAUCAAAACAAAAAUUUGCAUGAUGGUAGAGAAUGACGUAAUCUACGCAGUUGCAUUGGUAAAUUUCACUGAAUUCAUAUAUUUUUAUUUUAUAUGAAUUAAUUAUGCUAAUUUAUUCAUGAAAUCAUACUUUUUGCUCUGAUUCACUAAAUAAAGCUCCUAGAAUGCUAUUUUUUGGUGAAAAUAUUCUUUAUAGCAUUCCUAACAAUUGUGAAUGAAAAAAAUUAUGGUACCAAGACCGAUUUCUUAUGCAUUUUAUUGUUUUUUAAUUUCUUAUGUAUUUCUUUGUUUUUUAAGGUAAAAUUAAUUAAGUUUAAUCAGUAAAAGUUGAAAUAAUGAUGCAUUUAUGAAUAUUGGCUAAUACACAAUCUGCAUUGGAUUUGUACAUGAAAUCACGUUUAUGAGCAAUUUGGGGUCUGACAUGCACUUACAUAAUGUUGCGUAAUGUCGUAACCGCGUAUCCGGGCGUCACAAAUUUGGUCUCAAAAUUUGCGCGAGACUUGAAAGUAAAAAGUAAGUGAGCGGCGAGGUCAAAAAAUUUUGCGCAGCAGAUAUAUCGCAAAAAUUGUCAAGGAGGGGCCAUUAUGCCCCCCCCCCCCGGGAGAAUGAGGGUUAAAAGAGCACAUUAUUACUAAGAAUUUCACAUGAAUACAAGUAUUUGAAAUUAACUUUUAUCAGAUUUAGUUUCUUUCACAGACUAUCUUCAAUGAUUAUUUAAUUCAAAUAGUCCUUACUAAAAAACCACUAUUUAAUCAGGAAGCAUCAAAUGUAAAUUCCUCAUUUACUUUUUCAUGUGAAAUAUUUUCACAUAUUUUAAAUUGUCUAUUUCAAAUGCUUAAGAUUAGAACUUUGAUAGCUCACAGAAAGUUUAUUGCAUGCCCCAAAAUAUGCAUGUCCAUGAGGGUCAUCAAUUUAAACUGCUCUCAUUUCUUUGUUUUUGCAUCAGUUGUGUUUACACUUGGUACAGAUAACCAUUGGGGAUUAAAUACCAUAUGCAUGUCCAGGAGGAUAAUAAGGUCAAAAGAUCAUAUUGCAUACACUGUAGUUUGAUUGUGAUAUCAGGCGAGACUGAUGGUUAACCUUGUUUUUUGUUGAAAUGUAUUCUUUUCAAGUGUCCCCAGGGCAACAGCCCAGCUGGGGCAACCAGGUAGCCUUAUGAAUAGAGCUCAACUCGGGCAACCAGGAAAACACUAGCUUGGCCUGGCAGUGCUGGCACAUGCACAUUUAGGGGGCGUGAAUGAGACAAAUUAAAAGGGCAAUUAAUGCAUUUUCUUGGAAAAAAAUAUAAUUUCAAUUGACCCCAAAUGAUAACCUGAUCAUGGCCUAGUUGGGAAACCAGGUAGCCUAACAAGUAGAGCUCGAAUCAGGCAACAGAAAAACACCAGCUAAUAAUUAACAAUAAUUAUUCAUUUGGGCCAUUAUGAUGUGGCAAUAUAUCAAAACUUGGACUGAGUAUUUAUUUCACAAAAUGUUUGUAAUUUUGCAAUGUUUUCAAAAUGCCAAUUGAGUAUUAGAUUUCAGUGUGUUAUAUUUUUAUGUAAUUUCCUGGUGUGAUUUUCCAAGGUGCAAGGUGGUUUUAUGCAAAUUAAAGAUAUAC